GAGUGCUUGCUUGUCUUGGUUUGCGUCAGAUAGCCGCUUCUCGGCAGAAAGGUCCUGGGAUUGUUUCUGGAGCUCCUGCUUCCAAGCAUCCAUCUCGCCGGUUACCUUGGAUACGCAGCUGCAGGUAAACAUCCAAUCGGAUCUUCCUCUGAUGGAAAACAUCCUCCAAUUGAACAUGGAACUCCUCCAGUUGCUGUAGCACCGACUCCACGUGGGCCACAGAGCUGCCCUGGGGCCUAAAACCAAUGCACACGACAUUAACUUUGUAAUCCACCUUUAGCAGUCACUUUCAUGCACUGAGCUGAAAACAAUUCAACACAAGUACGAAACAAACACAUGACGAAGAACACUCAAUUGAACCCAGCCUUCUUAUCGAGGGAAUUAGGUGGCCCAACCAUGCAGCAAUGGGGACGCGACUCGAAUGCAUCCAGACUCUCUACCUGAGUUGCAGGAUGAGGUCUUCCCCUUCUCUGAUGACACUCAUCGCAGCCUCCUGCGGGUCGGGGUUAGAAGCCGGGUUAAUGUGAUGGUUAGAAGUCGGGGUCAGAGGUGGAAGCGAUGUCGGGCUUUUGUGAGAGGGUUAGUGAUUAGGUGUGAGAUCAGACACACAGUAAGCCAUCACCUGUGUGUUGGCCUGCUGCUGUUGUUGCUGACUCAUCAGCGUCUGCAGAGCUUCCACCGAUUCAGAACCGACGCAGAGGUCAGCCGAGAGCUGCUUCUGGAGUCCUUCCAUCCACGACGACAGCUGUGCGUGGGAUUGGUGUGGAGAUCAGGUUCGGGUUUUGUCAGUGGCAUCCUGCGGACGCUACCUCUUUGGUGUGUGUGUAGAAGGACACAGCCAAGUCGAGCAGCAUCUUCCUUUGUUCCACUUUCUGAAUGAACGCCUGCAGAAAGACACAGAGCCGGUGGGUCACCUGCAUGCGGAGCUCCAAGUCUCGAGCCGCCUGGUAGAUCUCUUCUUCCUCACACUCACCGGACUGAGCCAGUUGGUCAGCUGCUUCCAGAAGCUUCUCUGCGUUGGUGAAUAGCGAGAGUCCAAGUGAGCUGUACCUGCAUGACCUGGUGCAGAACUCCCAUGAUGCCGUGUGUGGUGGCAGUCAAGUCUGGUUUCGAUGACGAAUCAUUGUUGUCAGUCACCGUGCUCCGAUUUAGGACGUCCAGCAAGGCUUUGCCGCUCUCGCUCACCUACACAUAAACAGCUUCCUCGAGCUCAGUUGUCGCCAGUGGCAGCGAUGCCUCGACAUAGUUCUGAAGCCACUCCUCUGUUUUGUGGAGAAACUGCAUACAACCAGGUGGGAGGACAGAAAACAAAAGCUAUGAAGGUGAACAGUAAUCUCCCGCCUCUUUGCAGUUUGCUAUUUACAAACAUGAGGGUUUUUUUUCUGUGGAACCUAUCCUUAGCUAUUUGCUCUAAAAUACCACAAAAUGGUGUCAAAGCCUUGGUCCCCAAGAGAGUUACUCAUCUAUUUAAAGCAACCACGUGGCUUCGACUGAGGAACAUCAGCUUAGCUUGAUGCUUAAAAACUAUUUAAAACAGAAGUACUAUUCUUCUUUGCAUCAUACUGCCUCCCGGUGGCCAAGCUUGGCACGCCAGAAGGAGCAGCACAAUGAAAUAUUUUUUUGGUCGCGCACACAUUCACACCGUUAUAUGCGGGAAUCAAACUCACGGCGUUGGCACACAAGACAGGCAAGUGUACCCCGACACCAUCAGCGACUCUCAAUAGCACAAUGAAAGACUACUGACCUGCUCUGCGCCUUGGUGGAAGCCAGUUGCCAUGGCUAAAGUGUUGCUACGCUCUUCCAGAGCUGUGGUCAACAGCUUCCAGGCUUCUUGUAGCUGUGAGGACACCGUGGCAAUUCUCUCUGCCCCAAAGUGACCAGCCUCUGCAAGCCUAGCUGCCACAGUAACAACACUGUCCACAUUUACACUCCCGUUCUAUACACACACACACACACACACGCACACAC